rnacentral:rRNA from 1 species
AGAGUUUGAUCCUGGCUCAGGAUGAACGUUGGCGGCGUGCUUAACACAUGCAAGUCGAACGGAGAUGUACGCUGAAGAAGCUUCGGCAGAUUCAUGUGCAUCUUAGUGGCGGACGGGUGAGUAACGCGUGGGUAACCUGCCCUGUACAGGGGGAUAACACUUAGAAAUAGGUGCUAAAACCGCAUAAGCGCACAGUACCGCAUGGUACAGUGUGAAAAACUCCGGUGGUACAGGAUGGACCCGCGUCUGAUUAGCUGGUUGGAGGGGUAACGGCCCACCAAGGCGACGAUCAGUAGCCGGCCUGAGAGGGUGAACGGCCACAUUGGGACUGAGACACGGCCCAAACUCCUACGGGAGGCAGCAGUGGGGAAUAUUGCACAAUGGGGGAAACCCUGAUGCAGCGACGCCGCGUGAGUGAAGAAGUAUUUCGGUAUGUAAAGCUCUAUCAGCAGGGAAGAUAAUGACGGUACCUGACUAAGAAGCCCCGGCUAACUACGUGCCAGCAGCCGCGGUAAUACGUAGGGGGCAAGCGUUAUCCGGAUUUAUUGGGUGUAAAGGGUGCGUAGACGGGUAAGCAAGUUAGUUGUGAAAUCCCUCGGCUUAACUGAGGAACUGCAACUAAAACUACAUAUCUUGAGUGCGGGAGAGGAAAGUGGAAUUCCUAGUGUAGCGGUGAAAUGCGUAGAUAUUAGGAGGAACACCAGUGGCGAAGGCGACUUUCUGGACCGUAACUGACGUUGAGGCACGAAAGUGUGGGGAGCAAACAGGAUUAGAUACCCUGGUAGUCCACACUGUAAACGAUGGAUACUAGGUGUAGGUGUUAUUAAGACAUCUGUGCCGUCGCAAACGCAGUAAGUAUCCCACCUGGGGAGUACGACCGCAAGGUUGAAACUCAAAGGAAUUGACGGGGGCCCGCACAAGCAGUGGAGUAUGUGGUUUAAUUCGAAGCAACGCGAAGAACCUUACCAGGGCUUGACAUAUAGAGGAAUAUAUAAGAGAUUAUAUAGCUCUUCGGAGUCUCUAUACAGGUGGUGCAUGGUUGUCGUCAGCUCGUGUCGUGAGAUGUUGGGUUAAGUCCCGCAACGAGCGCAACCCCUGUUUCUAGUUGCCAGCGAGUAAUGUCGGGAACUCUAGAAAGACUGCCGGUGAUAAAUCGGAGGAAGGUGGGGACGACGUCAAAUCAUCAUGCCCUUUAUGUCCUGGGCUACACACGUACUACAAUGGCUAUAACAGAGAGAAACGAAGCAGUGAUGUGGAGUAAAACUCAAAAAGUAGUCUCAGUUCGGAUUGAAGGCUGAAAUUCGCCUUCAUGAAGCCGGAAUUGCUAGUAAUGGCAGGUCAGCAUACUGCCGUGAAUACGUUCCCGGGCCUUGUACUCACCGCCCGU